rnacentral:rRNA from 1 species
UAUACAAUUUAACCCUGGUUGAAGUUGAAAUAUAUCUAAUGAUGCUAUAUACGUUUAUUAUAUUAUGCUAAUCCUUGAGCAUAUAAAUUUGAGGUGGUUGUAGUAGUGAGAUCUAUCGUUAUAAAGAAAUUUAGUGAUGGUUGUUAGAUAGUAGAAGAGGCUAAAGCACAGUGCCAGCAGCCGCGGUUAUACUGUAAUUCUUCUUAUUUCUUUUUUGGUUAAAACUUUUAUUGAAAUUUAAAUAAAAUUGGUUGGUUAAAUAGGUUUUUUUUUGAGAAUACUUCAAUGAUGAGUAAAGUUCCAGUAUAAAGACAGGGAUUAGAUACCCCUUUAUUAGGAUAAAAAAUUUUUGUCCACGGUUUCAAACUGAAAGGGUUUGGCAGCAAACUAAAUUCUUCCGGGGGAAGGUGCUUAUUAAAGAGAUGAUCCGCUUAUUAAUUUACUAUAUCUAGUGUUAGUGUAUAUCCGUUUGUAUAUUCACGCUUAGAGGUCAUAAGUGGGUAAAUAUUAAAUAAUU